GUGCCAGCAGCCGCGGUAAUACGUAGGGUGCGAGCGUUGUCCGGAAUUACUGGGCGUAAAGAGCUCGUAGGUGGUUUGUCGCGUUGUUCGUGAAAACUCACAGCUUAACUGUGGGCGUGCGGGCGAUACGGGCAGACUAGAGUACUGCAGGGGAGACUGGAAUUCCUGGUGUAGCGGUGGAAUGCGCAGAUAUCAGGAGGAACACCGGUGGCGAAGGCGGGCCUCUGGGCAGUAACUGACGCUGAGGAGCGAAAGCGUGGGGAGCGAACAGGAUUAGAUACCCUGGUAGUCCACGCCGUAAACGGUGGGUACUAGGUGUGGGUUCCUUCCUUGGGAUCUGUGCCGUAGCUAACGCAUUAAGUACCCCGCCUGGGGAGUACGGCCGCAAGGCUAAAACUCAAAGGAAUUGACGGGGGCCCGCACAAGCGGCGGAGCAUGUGGAUUAAUUCGAUGCAACGCGAAGAACCUUACCUGGGUUUGACAUGCACAGGACGCCGGCAGAGAUGUCGGUUCCCUUGUGGCCUGUGU
rnacentral:rRNA from 1 species